rnacentral:rRNA from 1 species
AACGGGGGGGGCCGGCGAUAUUCGUCUUGGACUGGGCGUAUAGGGAUCGUAGGUGGUUUAUUCUAUUUAACACGAAAAGCUGAAGUUUACUUAUGCAGAUGUUUUUAUAUUGAUAAUCUUGAGUUUAAAUGAGGAAAACGGUACUCCUGGUGGAGAGGGUAAUAUUCUGAAAUAUCGGCGAGGACUAACAAUGGCGAAGGCGGUUUUCCUGUUUUAAGCACUCACACUGAGGAUCUAAAGCUUGGUCGCAAACAGG